CCCUAAUUUCAAUCAAAAUCACAACCUCAGAAGCAAAAAAGGAAAAUGAUGACAAGAGCAAGAAACAGUUGAUAAAUUUACGUUACAAUCCAACCCGUCGGACCAUGGACGGAAAUUGGAAUUGUUUUCUUUAGAUGUUCGUUAAUUUUUCAAGGUUUUGUCAUUGGCAAGAGUGUAUAAGUAAAUUCCAACUCAGAACUUUACUUAUAAAAGAGUGCACUCUGCAAUAAGUAAAUCAAAGACUAUAUCUAUCUAAAUGAAGGACUAGACCCAAAGUAGUUUCACCCUUGAAAACAUAUUUCAAUUUCCCAGGAAGAAGAUAAAGAUUGAAUUACCUUUGAAUGGUGCCAAGGCCUCUGCUGCCCAUUACCAAACAAUCAAGCUUCAAAUCUGCAACAGAUUCACAUAUUUUAUCCCUGGCCUCACCCCAGUAAAUCUUUGUGACAAUAUUCACCUCUUUCUGCCUUGAAGCCGUAUCAACCAAGUCUAAAACCUCAGGAUCAGGUUCCACCUCAUAAUGUUUCAUCACUUCCUUCUCUCUGAACUCCGAUAAUGGAAUCAAAGCUACAAAUAAAAGAUCACCCAAGUCAAAUAUCGUCAAAAUACCAAUGACCCAUAGUUUUAAAACUUGAUCAAAAACGGAAGUGGAGUAUGGCAGUGACUUACGUGAGCCACUGGUGGACCAAAGAAGGUUACGAGACUCGUCGCUCUGAUUGGGUUUGACGUGGAUGAGGUAAAGGGUAUCCCCUUUGUCUACCAGAUUGUCGAUUGUCCAUUUAAGAGCUGCUUUGCUUCCCUUGGAGAAAUCCAUUGCUACACCGAUUUGCCUAUCUUUUGUCA
rnacentral:lncRNA from 1 species